rnacentral:rRNA from 1 species
AGCUCUACCUUAGUUUUUUUGUUAGCUGAACAAGACCUCAAACUUAAGAGCUAUUCAAAUAAGGCACAGCUUAUUUGAAAUAGGAUACAACCUACAACAUAGGGUAACCGAGAGUAACUUAAAUAAAGUGGGCCUAAAAGCAGCCAUCUUUAAAAAAGCGUUAAAGCUUAACUACUCCUCACUCACAAUACCUAAAGCCCUCACUAACCCCUCAUUACUAUUGAACAGUUUUAUACUCAUAUAAAAGCUAUUAUGCUAGAACUAGUAACAAGAAAUUGCCUUUCUCCUAAAUGUAAGUAUACACCAAAAUAAACUCUGUUGGCUAUUAACGUGGAUGCUAAACUAUAGUAACACCCGCUAGAAAACUCUAUAACUCUUAACGUUAACCUUACACCAGAACAUUCCAGGAAAGAUUAAAAGAAAAAGAAGGAACUCGGCAAAUCAUAGCCCCGCCUGUUUACCAAAAACAUCGCCUCUUGCAAAACAUAAGAGGUCCAGCCUGCCCAGUGACGAAGUUCAACGGCCGCGGUACCCUAACCGUGCGAAGGUAGCAUAAUCACUUGUUCUUUAAAUGAGGACUUGUAUCAACGGCACUACGAGGGCUAUACUGUCUCCUUUUUCCAAUCAGUGAAACUGAUCUCCCCGUGAAGAAGCGGGAAUCAAAAUAUAAGACGAGAAGACCCCAUGGAGCUUUAAACUCUCUGUGCACUUCUGUGCCCCUACAUCAUUAGACAUAAGAAAUCUGUACACUAGUUUUAGGUUGGGGGGACCACGGAGUACAACUUAACCUCCUUAACAAAUGGGUUAAUACCCUUAUCCACGAGACACACCUCUAAGAAUUAUUAAACUAAUGCCUAUGACCCGAUAUUCGAUCAAUGAACCAAGUUACCCUGGGGAUAACAGCGCAAUCUACUUCAAGAGCCCAUAUCGACAAGUAGGUUUACGACCUCGAUGUUGGAUCAGGGUAUCCCGGUGGUGCAGCCGCUACCAAUGGUUCGUUUGUUCAACGAUUAAAACCCUACGUGAUCU